rnacentral:rRNA from 1 species
GACGAACGCUGGCGGCGUGCUUAACACAUGCAAGUCGAACGUGAUUUUUAUGGAAAGCCCUUCGGGGACGGAAAUGAAAUGAAAGUGGCGAACGGGUGAGUAACACGUGAGCAACCUACCUUACACAGGGGGAUAGCCGUUGGAAACGACGAUUAAUACCGCAUGAGACCACAAAGCCACAUGGCUUAGGGGUAAAAGAUUUAUCGGUGUAAGAUGGGCUCGCGUCUGAUUAGCUAGUUGGAAGGGUAAAGGCCUACCAAGGCGACGAUCAGUAGCCGGUCUGAGAGGAUGAACGGCCACAUUGGAACUGAGACACGGUCCAAACUCCUACGGGAGGCAGCAGUGGGGAAUAUUGCACAAUGGGGGGAACCCUGAUGCAGCGACGCCGCGUGAGCGAAGAAGGUUUUCGAAUCGUAAAGCUCUGUCCUAUGAGAAGAUAAUGACGGUAUCAUAGGAGGAAGCCCCGGCUAAAUACGUGCCAGCAGCCGCGGUAAUACGUAUGGGGCGAGCGUUGUCCGGAAUUAUUGGGCGUAAAGGGUACGUAGGCGGUUUUUUAAGUCAGGUGUGAAAGCGUGAGGCUUAACCUCAUUAAGCACUUGAAACUGGAAGACUUGAGUGAAGGAGAGGAAAGUGGAAUUCCUAGUGUAGCAGUGAAAUGCGUAGAUAUUAGGAGGAAUACCGGUGGCGAAGGCGACUUUCUGGACUUUUACUGACGCUCAGGUACGAAAGCGUGGGGAGCAAACAGG